rnacentral:rRNA from 1 species
UACGUAGGGGGCAAGCGUUGUCCGGAAUCAUUGGGCGUAAAGAGCGUGUAGGCGGCCAGAUAAGUCCGCUGUGAAAUCUCGAGGCUCAACUUCGAGCUGUCGGUGGAAACUGUCUGGCUAGAGUCCGGAAGAGGAGAAUGGAAUUCCUGGUGUAGCGGUGAAAUGCGCAGAUAUCAGGAAGAACACCGGUGGCGAAGGCGGCUCUCUGGGCCUUACCUGACGCUGAGGAGCGAAAGCGUGGGUAGCGAACAGG